AUCGACGUGGUGUAAUGGAUAACACAACAAUCCGGUCCAAUGAAGAUGCUGGUUCGCUCCCAGCCGCCGACU